rnacentral:rRNA from 1 species
CCUACGGGUGGCAGCAGUGGGGAAUAUUGCACAAUGGGGGAAACCCUGAUGCAGCGACGCCGCGUGAGUGAAGAAGUAAUUCGUUAUGUAAAGCUCUAUCAGCAGGGAAGAAAAUGACGGUACCUGAGUAAGAAGCCCCGGCUAACUACGUGCCAGCAGCCGCGGUAAUACGUAGGGGGCAAGCGUUAUCCGGAUUUACUGGGUGUAAAGGGAGCGUAGACGGCAGCACAAGUCUGGAGUGAAAUCCCGGGGCUUAACCCCGGAACUGCUUUGGAAACUGUGCGGCUGGAGUGCAGGAGGGGUAAGCGGAAUUCCUAGUGUAGCGGUGAAAUGCGUAGAUAUUAGGAGGAACACCGGUGGCGAAGGCGGCUUACUGGACUGUAACUGACGUUGAGGCUCGAAAGCGUGGGGAGCAAACAGGAUUAGAUACCCCUGUAGUC